rnacentral:lncRNA from 1 species
UAGGAGACCACAUCCUUGGGCCUCAGUUUCCCUGUCUGUAAAGUAAGAAGAACAAUCCCAAGGCUAUUGUUGGGGGGCGGAGGGGGGGGUGGACAGAAGGAAGAUGGUCCAAUUAAGUAGAACCAGGAAACCAUCUGCCAUAAAGCCGGGCCAGCUGGGCUAUAAAAAUAUUUUCAGGGGCUCCGGGUGCUGAUGCAAAGAGAGAAAACGGCAAGACAGGGAAUUGGUAACAACAACUCCAGGUAACUCUCCUUUUUAAUUAGAGGAGUCUCGGCCCCAGCAGCCAGCGGCCCGAAAGGCAACAAAGUCUCCUCUGACCACGUCUGCACUUGGCCAUAACGGGGGUAUACUCAGGCCUCCCUGCUCCGCGCUGCGUCAUCCAUUAGAAAACAAAAAAGCGAGUCAAGUCCUGGGUUGGGACCACCUUGGUGCCAGUGUAACGGGAGCUGGGCAAGAGCCCUCGAAGGUCACUGCUAUGUGACUGCUUUGGGAACGAGGCUGUUGUGUUGUUCAGCAAAAGCCCUGUACUUCUGUAAGUGAGCAGGUGAGCACAUCUUCUAACGAGGUCCCUUUGCU